UACGUAGGGGGCAAGCGUUGUCCGGAAUCAUCGGGCGUAAAGCGCGUGUAGGCGGCCAGGUAAGUCCGUUCUGAAAGCCCGGGGCUCAACCCCGGGAGGCGGAUGGAUACUGCUUGGCUCGAGUCCGGAAGAGGCGAGUGGAAUUCCCGGUGUAGCGGUGAAAUGCGCAGAUAUCGGGAAGAACACCCGUGGCGAAGGCGGUUCUCUGGGACGGUACUGACGCUGAGACGCGAAAGCGUGGGGAGCGAACAGG
rnacentral:rRNA from 1 species